rnacentral:rRNA from 1 species
CCUACGGGGGGCAGCAGUCGAGAAUCAUUCACAAUGGGGGAAACCCUGACGCAGCAACGCCGCGUGCGGGACGAAGGCCCUCGGGCUGUAAACCGCUUUCAGCAGGGAAGACAUCGACGGUACCUGCAGAAGAAGCUUCGGCUAACUACGUGCCAGCAGCCGCGGUAAUACGUAGGGGGCGAGCGUUAUCCGGAUUCAUUGGGCGUAAAGCGCGCGUAGGCGGCCGCCUAAGCGGAACCUCUAACCCCGGGGCUCAACCUCGGGCCGGGUUCCGGACUGGGCGGCUCGAGUGCGGUAGAGGAGAG